ensembl:lncRNA
GCAGCUGCUUUAAGGAAGGGUGCUUAAACACGUGUUCAUCCUGAAGGAUGUAUUUUGGGCUUACUGCAUGCAAGUUCUGUUGAACAGUGACACUUUCCGAGAGGAAGGUGUGUAAUUCUAGAAGGUACAGCUCACUUGAUUGCUAGUUGGACCAGCUAAGAUCCAGUAAGAAAUAUUUUUACUUAUGAUCAUUUUACUGAAAGACUGUCACCCUAAAUUCCCGAGAAUGCCAGUUUUGUGUCCUUGCAUCCUGCAAGUAUGUAAAAAUACUUCCUUACUAAGCUACUAUAAUAGAGUUUCUCAUAUUUUUCUAAUUAUACGUUACCUACAAAGAGAGGUGCCCAACACAAGACUGAUUCUGCAACUUGCUGGAAUCCCCUAGAAGGAAGAUCCCACUGUCUCUUCAUUAAAGUAAAGGUCGAACUGGUGCCAGAUUUUUGUAUGUCAGGAAAUCAAAGCAGCAGCAGCCAAAACUUAAAUGGACUUAUCAGAACCAACCAGAAUAUUUUCAAGUAUUUUGUAAGUAAGUGUUCUUUGUGAGAUUCAAGAACUUAUACCCUGUACCUUGUCAAAGAUCAGGAAAACCUGAAAGUGAAACUGAACUGCUUUUACUUGUUUAAGGUGAGGCAAAAAGUAAUGGGGAAAAAAGAUUGUAAACCUAAAUCAUUAAUCAAGGAUGAUUAACACAGACCUUUAAGGUAGUAUUCCCUGUUUCCUAAUAUGGCCUAUAGUCACUACAGGCAUCAAGUGAUUAGAUCGUAUAGCAAUAUACGUAAAAUUAGAGUAUAUUUAGCAUUUUUCAGGCUAACCAUCCUGAAGUCUGGUUUUUUGCCAGUAAGCUUCAGUGGGUGUAUAUUGGGUUCCUUGGGCACAACUAGGCAUAUUCAGAAACUAUGCAGAUAAAAACCAAAUCAUGUAAGAAAUUUAUAGUGUUUGGGUAAAAGUCUAGGGACAGCAACCUUUUCAGUGCUCAUUACUUGAAAAGAAUAGUUUGUCAGAAUUUCACAUCUCAUUUUCGGUGGAGGCCCUUACAUAGUAGUUUUUAUCAAAAGUUACCAUGCCGGGACACUUGCAGAAGUACUUGCUGUAUACUGAGAACAGACACCAUGUGUCCCUUGGGGGUGGUCAGAUACUGGAAGAGGUUGCUAAGGGAGGUGGAGCUCUCUGUCCACGGAGGGGUUGAGGACUUCACUGAACACAUAUCCUGGAGUAUCCUGGUCACAUUAGGCCCACUUUGAGCAGGGGUUAGGGUAGGGUUCUCUCUUCCUCCCUAAAUUAGUCUGUACCUGUAUAACUGAGGGGCAACAUCUGGUGGCCUCUCUGGCAGGGAUUUCAGCAGGUGUGUUUAAAUAGUGGCCACUGUGAGAUGUCAUUGGUGUAUCUUGUGGGUCUGUGAUUCUGACUGCUGUAAUGAGUUCUGUCUUGAUGUGGUAAUGAGUUAUCAUAUUCAGUAUUCAUCUCUCUUGUUUUUGUCACAGUUCUGUAUGAUUGUGUCAUUUUUGUAUUAUUUGAAAGUAUUUCUUCUACAAAAUAAAACAAUUUGCCAUAAA